rnacentral:rRNA from 1 species
UUCGUAGGCGGUGCGGCAAGUCGGGAGUGAAAUCUCUGGGCUUAACUCAGAGGCUGCUUCCGAAACUGCCGUGCUGGAGUGUGGGAGAGGCGCGUGGAAUUGCAGGUGUAGCGGUGAAAUGCGUAGAUAUCUGCAGGAACACCCGUGGCGAAAGCGGCGCGCUGGACCACAACUGACGCUGAGGAACGAAAGCUAGGGGAGCAAACAGGAUUAGAUACCCUGGUAGUCCUAGCCCUAAACGAUCAGGACUUGGGGUGCCGCCCGUUCGGGCGUCGUCCCGGAGCUAACGCGUUAAGUCCUGCACCUGGGGAGUACGGUCGCAAGACUGAA